GCGGGCGUAGCUCAGCUGGCAGAGCACCGGAUUGUGAUUCCGGGUGUCGUGGGUUCGACCCCCAUCGCUCGCC
rnacentral:tRNA from 1 species